rnacentral:lncRNA from 1 species
AACAAACUCAAUUUAUAUUGAAAAUCUUUAAUUAUAUAUUCAAAUAUUAUUAGUACAUAUAACACAUUCUAAAGACUUCAAUAAACAAGACAUUUUGUUCAUAAUAGAACAAUCUAUACAUGAAAAUUUCUAUCAUCCAAUUAAAUUCUUUUUAUUUGUAGCUGAAUUUAAGGGCUAAAUUUAACAAAUCUGGAAGCUAAAUUGAGAAGUAUUAUUGCCUUUCACUCUCCUAAACAUAUGUAGUGCGAUUGUACAUUAUCACACCAACGACAUCUUCAUUCAGCGGACUAGAUAGAUUAAGAUACAUGGAAAGUUGAGGAAGAAACUCUUUAAGCACAUUAUCGAUGUCUGCAAAGGAAUGCAAGGAAAAUUAAAGAAAAUGGUUCCCAAUUUCCAACCGCAACAAUAAUUAACAAGCAUUAAAAAACAACAAUUAACCAAAAAAGAAAAAUUUUUUUUCCAAAGGAUAAAUAUUCAAUCUAACAUUUAGUUUCAACACAAGCAUGUUGCUCUAUCUACAUAUACCAAUUGACUUUAUUGGCUAAUUAAAAGCUAUCACAAAUGCUCUGUUAUAAACUAAUCAACAAUCACUUCCUUAAUCUAAUCUAUUCAAUCUUAAAGCUUUGUUAACAAGAAGGCAAAAAUAUAGCAGACCUUAUUGCACAUUCAAUUUGUAUAAUAGACAACAUUGCACUUCUCUAAGACAUUGACUAUAAUGAUGAUAAAUGAAAUAAUAAGAGCACAUGAGUGACAGUUGACAUAUAAAAAAAAUAACAAAAGGUACUACAUACCUUUUAUAAAGGAAGCCAAGUUCAGAAAGUCAACAAAUGAACUGAUCAAAAUCAAAGCCCGUCCUUUGAAAUACAAAUAGCAUAAAAGUGCCCUCCUAUCAAGUUCUCAUGUCAUGAAAUAAAUAAUGAUUAGGAGAUUCUCAAACAUUUAUCUAAAAAUAGAGUAAAACAUAAACAAAUCAAUCACAAUCAACAGUUGCAUUUAGUAAUAAAAUUGACUAUAUAAAAGAAAAUACGUUUUUUCUUCAAAAUUAGUCUUUGUUUCUUAUUGCUUCUUGCCAUAGAUAAUCUUUCUCAAGAAGAAAUUUCCAACCAUUUUGCCAAAAGAGCCUGAUUUGUUUUAUCCAAAUUACUAAUUCCUAACCCUUACCACUCGCCCCCCCUUUUCUUUUGCCAAAGUAACAGUGGCCACUUAUCUAGGUAAGAACCAUUAACAUCAUCGAACCAUUCCCACAAAUAGUCUCUCUUCAAUCUUUCUAGUCUUUUAGCUACCCACAAAGAAUUUUGAAUAACAGAAACAGAUCUUCAAGCAUAUAAACAUGCAGAAAUAAUAGUUAACAAGCAACACACAUAUGCAAUUGAUAACUCAAAGGAAAUAAUUUCUAAAUAACUAUUUGUGAAAAAUGUAAACUUAUGUUGCUCUAAAAGAUUACAUGUUUUGUACCAUUUCUUGAACUGUUGAAGGUACACGAUGCAAUUGCCCUGUAUUGUAAUAAGAAAGGAAGCAAGUAAAGGACAAGGAUGAGUUAUAUGGCUGAUAACUUUACACACACAUUGCUACUAAAUCUUAAGAGUC